GCCCACUAGAGCAAUUCAUUCCCACCACUGCACCGUACACCUCCACCCCCACUGCACCAUAAAACCACCAUCGCACCCACAGCACCACAGUAGAACAUCACCUUUGUACCCACCAGAACUCUCUGUUUUCAUCACCGCACCACACAUCUCCAUCACCAUCGAACCACAGAACCAUCACCAAACCGUCAAUCACCACAAUACUCAAAAAUUUUAAAAAGGAAGAAUAGAUUUGCAACGUGCAAUUCGUCGGAGUGAGUUUCAUGAGGAGUCGCGUGGAGUGGGUGAAAUAAAGUAGAGGGGAGAUCUACAGCACCGGCCACCUGUCCCAACAUGAAGUGCUCCAUACCAUCCCACCAUCAUCGUCGUUCGCUUUGUGCAGUGGAGAUCAACACCCAUAAUCACUGCAAAUAGCACAAAAGAAACCAUUGAAAAUCAAACACAAGGGGAAAAAGAAGAAGAAGAAGGCAAUGAGCGUCACUAAUUCAAAGAAAAGGCGAUGAGUGCACGACGCUCCGAGGUGGUGGCCUACGUCGGACUGUGAUGAUAGUGUCUCCAGCGAUGACGGGUGGCGUCUGUGGUGUUGUAGCCAUAGGGGAGAGUGAAUGAUAAAAUUAAUUUUGAUUAAUUAUUAAAAUUAUAUUUUUGAUUGAUUAUUAAUUUUAUAAUUUUUUUAAUAAAUAUUAAAUUAUUAAUUAUAUCUGAAAGAUGAAAGAUGAAACUUAAAAAUCUGAUUUACACAUUGGAAUAUCCUUUUAAUAUUGAGAAAAUUACCACAAACCAUACCUUUGAAGUUUUACUUAAAAGUCAAGUACCAAUACACACACACACACACACACACACACACUCCGCUC
rnacentral:lncRNA from 1 species